rnacentral:lncRNA from 1 species
AAAAAAAGCUCAAAAUCUCUAGUCUCUUUCUUCCCCGUGUCUCUCUCUUUCAACUCACUUCCCUCUUUCCUUUCUUUCAAAAUCAACUUUUAUCUCUAUGACUGAUGGACGGGAAAGAUUUGCAACGGAUAUGGUGAGGGGCAUCAAUUCUUGACAAUACUCUUUAAAAGUUUAAAAUCUCAUAGAUAUUCAUAUUUACGGUUUUUAUGUUUGGAUUCGGUACCAGAAGAGAAAAGAGAAAUGGAGAAAUAAUUUGGCCGGGGGGUAGGAGAACAAGAGUUGUCGCCGGAGGCUGCGGUGGUGAUUUUGGUUGCCGUCAGCUAGUGAGUUCCGACUCUACGUGACUGUUGAAUUUGUACUUUUUUUCUCCAUCUUUAGUUUUUGUUUUAAAUUUAGAAAGUAAAAAUAUUUUAGGAAUAACAAUGAGUGAAAAGAGAGAUAUAAGAGCAAAUUCAUCCCUAAGGACUUUGCGCCAGCACCUAGCGCAUUUAUCCACUCAAGUGAACAGUAAUAGACUGGAGUGAACAGUAAUAGGCCAAGGCAUCUCCACCCCUAAAAAAAUGUGCUAGCACCCAGCACAUUUAUUUGGUGUGUUUUUUUUUU